rnacentral:rRNA from 1 species
UACGAAGGGGGCUAGCGUUGUUCGGAAUUACUGGGCGUAAAGCGCGCGCAGGCGGUCUUCCAAGUCAGUGGUGAAAGCCCGGAGCUCAACUCCGGAACUGCCAUUGAAACUGUGAGACUUGAGGAUGAGAGAGGUGAGUGGAAUUCCCAGUGUAGAGGUGAAAUUCGUAGAUAUUGGGGAAGAACACCGGUGGCGAAGGCGGCUCACUGGCUCAUUUCUGACGCUCAGGCGCGACAGCGUGGGGAUCAAACAGG